UGUUGGGUUAGUAUAUAAAUACAAUAUCUUUUCAUGAUAUAAAAAAAAUAAUAAUAAUUUUAUCUAAUAA
rnacentral:tRNA from 1 species